GUUAAGCGACUAAGCGUACACGGUGGAUGCCCUGGCAGUCAGAGGCGAUGAAGGGCGUGCUAAUCUGCGAUAAGCGCCGGUAAGGUGAUAUGAACCGUUAUAACCGGCGAUACCCGAAUGGGGAAACCCAGUGUGAUUCGUCACACUAUCAUUAACUGAAUCCAUAGGUUAAUGAGGCGAACCGGGGGAACUGAAACAUCUAAGUACCCCGAGGAAAAGAAAUCAACCGAGAUUCCCCCAGUAGCGGCGAGCGAACGGGGAGGAGCCCAGAGCCUGAAUCAGCAUGUGUGUUAGUGGAAGCGUCUGGAAAGGCGCGCGAUACAGGGUGACAGCCCCGUACACAAAAGCGCAUGUGCUGUGAGCUCGAUGAGUAGGGCGGGACACGUGGUAUCCUGUCUGAAUAUGGGGGGACCAUCCUCCAAGGCUAAAUACUCCUGACUGACCGAUAGUGAACCAGUACCGUGAGGGAAAGGCGAAAAGAACCCCGGCGAGGGGAGUGAAAAAGAACCUGAAACCGUGUACGUACAAGCAGUGGGAGCACCCUUUUGGGUGUGACUGCGUACCUUUUGUAUAAUGGGUCAGCGACUUAUAUUCUGUAGCAAGGUUAACCGAAUAGGGGAGCCGGAGGGAAACC
rnacentral:rRNA from 1 species